GAGACUUCGUCUCAAAAAAAAUAAAGUUGGUUGUCUGUUUGCUCCCCUCACAGCUCUGUUAACCCCUCUGACUGUGGUGACCCCCAGGCAUCUUCCACAAAUAACCAGGCCUUUGUAUUCACAGAUGUUUUUUAACUUAGCACUUCUCUGGUCACAAUGUUAACCCUCUAAUUGUAUUUACCAUUUUUAGGUAAUGCUUUUAUUUCGUUAUUUUAUAGGUAGAUUUUGAGACAAAAUUAGAAUAUAUAUGAAUAUAUCUCAUUUGACAAAGAAUGUUUAUAAACUUCACCUACAACAGUCUAUACUCAUAAAACAACUUCUGUAGCAAUCUACUAGAAAUGUAAUCAUUGCCAAGAGGUGUGGCUAGAGAAAAAGGAUUGAGAGGAAGGAAUCUAGCAAGUUAGAAUUUUCUCUUCAAUUCUUUUAUUUAUUUUUCGAGUUUCCUUUAGCAGCAUCCUUAAAGCUAGAAAAUGACUGGUUGUCACCAUGUGCUAAUGAGUAAUUGUGUGAGAAGUUUGUGAAUUGUUUCAGUGACUAUGUUGGGUGGCUGCAAAUAAGACAUGUGAAGAAAGGAUUUCCACUGUGUAACAACCAGGGCCCAAUGGAGGUGAGAAAAGGUACACUGAGUAUAGACACCUUAGAACAAAUAGCAGCAAACUAGAAAGGAAAAAGAGCUGUGGUGGACGAAAAGAAAUGCUAGAAAGAGCUAGAAAUUCUGAUCACAACUUGAGGAUUCUAGGAUUAAAAUUUCAAGUCACUAUAAUGAUCACUCAUCAAUGACCAUGAAGAGCAUUUCCUCAUCAGAGAAAUUUGCAUAUUCAGCUUAAAGAUUUGGCAAGCAGAUGAAAAAAGAAUGAAUGACAUCAAGGACCGAAGGACAACCUCCAGUCAAUAGCCAGUAAGAAGUCAGGACCUUCGGUUGCAAAGCACAAGGAAAUGAAUUUUGCCAACAAUCUGAAUGAAUCUGGAAAUGAAUUCUGCCUAAGUUGAGCCUCCAGAUGAGAACACAGCCUAGUCGACUCCCUGAUUGUCACCUGGUGAGAUGCUGAGCAGAGGACUCAGUUAAGCAGUGCUUGGACUCCAACAUACAGGAACUGUAAGAUAAUAAGUGUGUGUUGUUUUAAGCCAUGAAGUUGAUGGUAAUAUGUUUGUAGCAUGGAAAGUGAAUACAAUAGUUGACUUGCUCCAGCCACGCCUCCCAAAGAUAGGCUGCUCUAUUAUUUCUCUCUUGAUGAUUGCAAAAGAUCUUAUCACUUCCUUGGAAACAUGAAAGAAAACAAAACAAAACAGAAAUUCAUAUCUUAAUAAAUUAGUUUGCCAUAAAUAGAA